CACACAUACAUAUAUAUAUACACAUACAUAUAUAUAUACAUACAUAUAUGUGUGUGUGUGUGUGUGUGUGUGUGUGUG
rnacentral:miRNA from 1 species